rnacentral:rRNA from 1 species
UACGAAGGGUGCAAGCGUUACUCGGAAUUACUGGGCGUAAAGGGUGCGUAGGUGGUUCUUUAAGUCUGCUGUGAAAGCCCCGGGCUCAACCUGGGAAUGGCAGUGGAUACUGGAGAGCUAGAGUGCGGUAGAGGGUAGUGGAAUUCCCGGUGUAGCAGUGAAAUGCGUAGAGAUCGGGAGGAACACCAGUGGCGAAGGCGGCUACCUGGACCAGCGCUGACACUGAAGCACGAAAGCGUGGGGAGCAAACAGG